UACGGGAGGGAGCUAGCGUUAUUCGGAAUUACUGGGCGUAAAGCGCACGUAGGCGGCUUUGUAAGUAAGAGGUGAAAGCCCAGAGCUCAACUCUGGAAUUGCCUUUUAGACUGCAUCGCUUGAAUCAUGGAGAGGUCAGUGGAAUUCCGAGUGUAGAGGUGAAAUUCGUAGAUAUUCGGAAGAACACCAGUGGCGAAGGCGGCUGACUGGACAUGUAUUGACGCUGAGGUGCGAAAGCAUGGGGAGCGAACAGG
rnacentral:rRNA from 1 species